rnacentral:rRNA from 1 species
GAAAGCGUAAUAGCUCACUGGUCGAGUCGGCCUGCGCGGAAGAUUUAACGGGGCUAAGCUAUACACCGAAGCUGCGGCAAUGUGCUUUGCACAUUGGGUAGGGGAGCGUUCUGUAAGCCGUUGAAGGUGUGUUGUAAAGCAUGCUGGAGGUAUCAGAAGUGCGAAUGCUGACAUGAGUAACGACAAAGGGAGUGAAAAACUCCCUCGC